UAUGUGAAACACGGGAAGGCACGCCGGCCGGCCAGCCCGGUGGAGACCAAAUAAGCAAUGAUUAUUAAGUUGCAGAGGAGUGGGUGACGUCUGAAGAAGGGUCUCAAUCCCAAACGUCACCCAUUCCGUCUCUCCAGAGAUGCUGCCUGUCCCGCUGAGUUACCCCAGCGUUUUGUGACAACUAUAACAAUGCAGAUGAAAUGAAAAUUGGCCGUGUUGUUCAUAUCAUCCCCUAGUUUCACUUCUUCCACCUCCACUGUACAAUACCAUCCAUAAUGUUUGGGGCAAAGACCCAUCAUUUAUUUAUUUGCGUCUGUACUCCACAAUUUGAGAUUUGUAAUAGAAAAAAAAUCUCAUGUGGUUAAAGUGCGCAUUGUCAGAUUUUAAUAAACGCCAUUUCUAUACAUUUUGGUUGCCCCAGUGUAGAAUUUACAGCUGUGUUUAUAGGGAGGUUGCAGGGCAGUCGAGGUCCCGACCCGACCACGCAACGCCCUCUGGAGUACAAGCGGCGAACGUCAGAUUCGCCCCAGAAUGCGGACCACACACUGACUUGUUCCACACUCGCGGAUCCCGGGCCGUCUGUCCCCCCCGUGUGGGGGUCGGGGGAGAGGCAAUAUACAGCAACCAACUAUCAACCAGCACGUCUUUGAGAUGUGGGAGGAAACAGGAGAACCUGGAAAAAAAUCACAAGCUCUCAUACAGCAACCAACUAUUAACCAGCACCUGAGGUGAGGAUUGAAGCUGUAUCUCGGGCCUAUGAAGCAGCAACUCUACCAGCUAUGCCGCUGUGCUGCCCGUUAGUGUUACCAGAAUUCUGGAGUGGAGGUUGCAGGGCAGUCGAGGUCCCGACCCGAGCACGCAACGCUCUCUGGAGUACAAGCGGCGAACGUCAGGCAGGCAUAAGAGAGCUCUCAGCACCUCGUCUUUCCUCCAAUCUUUCCAUCACCUUUGGACACUUAUUGCUGUCUAUCAACACGAGGACCAAAGUUGUGCCAAUGAAAGUCAAAGAAGACAUUAUGAGACUGAGAAACACGAAUAAAAUUGUUAAAGACAUCAGCCAAACCUUCGGCUUACCAAAAUCAACUGUUUGGAACAUCAUUAAGAAGAAAGAGAGCACUGGUGAGCUUACAAAUCACAAAGGGACAGGCUUUUGUAUCUGCUAUCUGCUCCCAAGAUGAGACCUUCACACUUGAGGAUAUCCGAGAUGUCCUCUUUCUUCAGUAAAGUGGUUAGUACCCU